AUAAUCCCGUCGCACAAUUUGAGUUAUUGCUGAUGCUGGCUGGUACGGUAGAAGCCUUCAAGUCGCCGUCAGGAUGAUUUUCUUUGCCCGGCGCUUGUGCGACACAUCUCCGGAUCAAUUUUGUGUUUGUCAUGCCUGUGUUUGCUUCAUUUGCAUGAGAGACAUUUCUGUGCCAGAAGAGAAGCUUAAGCAUGCAGCUAAACUCUCUCCCAUCCUGCACGAUCCCUCAUGUCUCAACGAGUGAGACCAUGUGUGGUUAUUCUCGCUUACCCACCGAAUCCUCCAAUUUCCCAUUCAAUUUGUAAUGCUAAUUCUCCACUCGAUUAAUUUUAUGAAAUCGAUCACCCAUGAUCAUUAAUUAGGUUCGGCUGUUUGGCGCUUUGUAAAGAUUUGGAUAAUUCGAGGCCGGACUCUGGAUGCUGAUGCCACCUCCGCUUAGGACUUCUGAGGUUCUUCAAAUAUUUCAUGAUGUCAGGUUCAUAGGGGGGCUUGAAUUACACACUGCGCAAGAAAUCAGUGUGAAUCGGUGAUGCGUGGAUGGGUUGUACUCAGUUGGAUUGGAUUACAAGCUAGGCUGAAGAUUAUUUCACAGGAGCGCAGGAAUUGGACAUUCUAUGUAGCUCAGACCAAAGUAGUUCAAGAAUUGAUCAUCAUUUCAAAUGAAGCACUUGCUAUGAAA